CAGCGUCACGAUGCAGUGGUAGUCCGCAGCAUCUGCUUCUUGCACCUCGGAGAAGUACAGCUUCCCGUUCUCCGAUAGAAACGUGUGCGGGUUCAUCUCAGGGCGAAGGAACCGGUUGGCCUUCAUCCACUGAUGAAUGCCAGGACCUUAGUUCUCGCUGUCCACGCCCACCCGAAAGUUCUCCGACUCUCUGUAGAAAGCAACAGGAAUAUUAUUGACACAGUUUCGGAGCUUGGUGAGGAAAAGGACAACUCAACCUUCAGUUACUUGUUUUUUCGUCGUAGGGUGCGAUAAAGGUGGAAAGACAUCAGUGGCGGAACACCUCAAAGUUAUCUUAUCUGUUGCUGUUAUCACGUGCAUGGAGGGGACGCAUGCGCCUUUGCAAAAGAGCAGCUUGACAUGCUCCAGUCACGUGACCGGAGAGGACCUGUUUGAGGGCGACCUGGGGAUUUGCAUGACCUUGCUUCUCGCGCUUAUCACACCUGGAUUCUGCGAACGGGUACACGGUGGCCCUGCACCAGAAAGGUUAACUGAUCACGGGACCUUGGAAAGGAUUCCCCGUCCCCCUUCCUCACACAGAGAUAACCGACUGGCCUGUCUUGUAGACGAUGUCCUCUUGUGAUAUAAUCCAUCGGUGUGAGAAAAUGCCAAAAGUGGCGGCAGCUGUUCACAGUACUAAAUAUUCGAGAUACAACAAGUCAAUAAGUUUUUUGCAGGAUUCUAGACAACAUGGCCGCGAUGCUACAGAGGAAGAGCAAAAACGAACAAGGAUGCAACACUCCAGCAGCAGCAAAAAUCUCAGAGGUUAAGGGGUUAAACCUCACUUGGCCACCUGUAAACGACAAAAAAUAUUUUGAGGAAAUCCGUGCAAAUAAGAGAGAGAGAGAACAGCAGCAGCAGCCACAACAUCGCCAAGAAGCAAAACAGCAACAACUACAACAGAGAGGUCUCUCCUUGUUGAGUUCUACUCACCCGACACGCCUGUGCUGCUUC